rnacentral:lncRNA from 1 species
GCGGAUUUUCUAUACAACUACGGAAGGAUACAAUGCUCAGGUCAUUAAGCUCUGUGUUUCCAAGUUUGGAUCCCCCCAUGGCAGAGCUCAUCUUUAUUUUCAAAUAUUUGUGAACUGGUUUCAGCUCAUCAGGUUAUGCCUUCCCAUGUAAGGGUUGUUUCGAUUUAUCUGCUUCGUAUAUUCAAUUUCAGUGUCAAAAAAACUCGUAGUGCUGUCUGGUUUGAGCUUAUUGAUUUUCCAAAAUGAAUAUUUGCUUUACAUCAAAUGGUUUCAUGACAUGCGGCUGAUGAAUGUUGAGGAAAUUGCAUACUCAUAUUGUAAAAUAGGUUCACUCGACGAACUUUAAUCUGAAUUACUUGAGAUUGUCUACAUGAGUUCUCCUUCAGCUACCUCGAUUUAUAGUAGGAUUCAUAAUAAGAUGUGAUUUUAAGCUUUACUUUGGAUGUUUGGGUGACGGAAUUCAAUACACCAUCAUGUCUUAUUCCAGUGAAAUCUAUUGAGAAUUACAGUCCAAACAAAUGUUAAUCCUGUUUGGCAGCUAGAAGAUCUUCUUUCAUAUUCUCUGCCAUAUUCUUCAAAGCAGAAUCAUAAAAAUAAACAAACCCCUCUACUGGAUUCACAACAAAUGACCAAACAAUUUUAGACCCUUCUCCUUCCUAUGUCCUCUCAAAAGGUAACAACUUAAUUGUUGCCACGAACGAUUUCAAUCCAACAUUGUUAACCGAAAGCUCGUAGCUCAAGACCCCCUCACCUGGAUCUUUUCGGCAUACGAUUAUUUCUACAAGUAAUCCAAAUUCGUAAACCCAAUCAAUCUAUUCAAAAGAAAAAUCACAUAGGACAAGAAGAUAAAGUAAAUAUUCACGCACAAAUCAACAAGAAAUGACAAGAAAAGAAAACAAAGAGCUGACCUCUGGACUGUAAAUUUUCUCUUGCUUUCUUUCUAUUUUCUUUCGCUCCGAGAAAAUGUCUCGACGUUGAGAAUUCCGAAAGAAUUUCUAGCCACGUUGAUUAUAAAGAGAGCCCUAGAGUGGUAGAACUGAGAAUUGGGCUGAG